CAGUUCCUGCUGAGAAAGCACUCAGUUCCUACAGUAAUAUUGGAAAAACAAAACCUAGCUUCACUAAUGAUCAGCUACACCAAUGUAACAACCUGUUAUUAUUGCAAAGCACUUCCAUGCAUGCUCUUCAUCUGCCCCCAGUAUCCUACUCCCAACUAGACAGUCUCCAGAUUUCUUUUGUGCCAGCUCCAGCGCUCAUCUCCUCCCUCAGAGGGCUGAUUCAGUCUGCUAAAUGGAAAGAAAGGUGUGUGCUUCAUUUGCUGUAUUGGUUUGAGAGAAGCACGGAGGCAGAGGGAGGCAGAGGGAAGGGAGGUGGGGGCAGCCUGUGGCUGGAAGAGGGGGUUGAAGAGGAUUAAUGGGAGGCAGACUCUCCUUUUCAGUGGCAAGGAGUUACCAGGCCAAACAAGUUUGACCUGCAAAAUUUCACCUUUAGUCCUUCCCCUCUCUGGCUUCACCCUCUAGGGCAUUCUUUACCUUUCUGGCUUUUUUGUGUUUUCCUUUUCCCUGAAUUUCUCAGUUUUCUCCAAGUUUUGCAUCUCUCCCUUUGCUGGUUUGAUUCUUCUCUACCAAUUGGGGCUCCUCCACACUGUUCUUUUCACCUUGGGGUAUUGAUUAGAAACAACACCCCUGUUUAAAUCCUUUUGUGAUGUUUAGCAUUUCCUUUUGCAUUGACUGUGGUUAGAAGAGGCUGGUGAUGGUAUAGAGCUCGAGCAUAGAAAUCCUACAAACCUCUUCCCAUCUUGCUCACCUGCUUUCUGUGGUCAGACCUGCAGAGCAGACAAACAAACAUUGGGAAUCAGAGCAUAUGAUAUAUGUAGAGCUUUCCAGUUGAAAACAUUAGAAAACAUAAAAAUUAGAAAUUUAGAAAGGAAAAUCAGGCAUUCAGCAUUUUAAUUUUUAUUCUUUUUUCUGUCUAUCUGCCUGGAAAUUCUGAUGACUUGGAAGUUUGAUAUAUAAGAUUUCUUUCUGUUGGGUGCUGCUUUCCAAUACAUGCUCUGCAAUUUCUCAAGUAUCUACCCUGCCUUGUUUUCCAGGAAGGGAAGAAGCACAGAUUGUUCACCCGAGAGACAGAAAUGGACUUUAUUGGGCCAGGUUCCUCGUCCCCAGGUGUUGCCAGGGGCCGGACCGAUGUUUGUCCCGGGGCUGUGGGACGGGACGGGACGGCUGGAGGGGACAGCGCCUCGGCGGGGCUCCGAGCCCGGCGGCCCCGAGAGCCGGGAACGGAGCCGCCGCUGCGGGGAGGGCUCGCAGGUGCGCCGGGCUGAGCCGG
rnacentral:lncRNA from 1 species